rnacentral:lncRNA from 1 species
GGGGUGACCCAGGGGAGGGGUGGGGAGGGAGGGGGCGACCCAGGGGAUGGGAGGGGAGGGAGGCCGUGUGGGGUCAGGAUGGGGGGACACAUGAGCGCCUGCGGCCGAUCCAUGUUGAUGUAUGGCAGAAACCAUCACAGUAUUGUAAUUAUUCUUCAAUUAAAACAAACAAACAGAGAGAAUGUAGGCUCCACGGUGACCAUGGGCAGGAGGAAAUGUCUGGAGACGGAAAGGAGAAAGCUUCCUGAGGGAAGGUGGGCGACCUCAGGUGAGGGAAGCGUCCUUCGCCCUGAGGAUGUACGAGCGCCAGAAGGAACACGGCGAGCUCUGCCGAGGGCGGCCCCGGGCACAGGUCCCCGUGCCCCGGGGGGGGGGGGGCCCCCCCCCGAGGCCGGGCCCCCGCUCAGCCCCCCCCCCCGGCAGGUUCCCCCCGCAGCCUGUGCCCGGACCGGUCCUGGCCCACGUGUCCACCCCACUCUCCCCGGGCCAGUCCACCGAUGGCCACAUCUGCCAGCAGCCUCGGCUCGGCACCCCAGCUGUCCCCGGUCCCUCACCUGGCGGGGGGGCAGGCAGUCUCCACCUGGGUGUCCAGGUGUGGGUGCGCAGCCGUGGACCAAGCCCAGAACACCUGAGCUCUGACCUUGGCUCCGAGUGGCUCCGAGACGCCCAGCACGAGACCGCGCGCCUCCCGCCUCCAAGUCCUUAGGCCUGAACCCACGUGCUGCCCUGCCGUAGCCGAGGCCGCGAGCCCGCAGGCCUGACCUGGAGCUCCCCAGCCCUCACCGCUGUGCUCCCGCCCC